rnacentral:rRNA from 1 species
UACGAAGGGUGCUAGCGUUGUUCGGAAUUACUGGGCGUAAAGGGCGCGUAGGCGGCGCCGUAAGUUAGAUGUGAAAGACCUGGGCUUAACCUGGGAAGUGCAUUUAAGACUGCGGUGCUAGAGUGUGAGAGAGGAAAGUGGAAUGACGAGUGUAGAGGUGAAAUUCGUAGAUAUUCGUUGGAACACCAGUGGCGAAGGCGACUUUCUGGCUCGCAACUGACGCUAAGGCGCGAAAGCGUGGGGAGCAAACAGG